rnacentral:SRP_RNA from 1 species
UGUUGGUGCCUCCGCAACAUGAAGCCGCAAACCCGGUCAGGCCCGGAAGGGAGCAGCCGUAGUGGUGGAAUUGUGUGCCGGAGUGUCGCUGAUGGGG